rnacentral:lncRNA from 1 species
GAAUGUUUUGCGUAUGUUCUGUUCCAGGAGUUUGAUGGUGUCUUGUCUUAUGCUGAAGUCUUUCAGCCAUCUUGAGUUUAUUUUUGUGCCUGGUGUGAGGGUGUGUUCCAGUGUCAUUGAUUUGCAUGCAGCUGUCCAGUUUUCCCAGCAAUUCUUGCUGAAUAGAGUUUCUUUUUCCCAUUUAAUGUUCUUGCCUGCUUUGUCAAAGAUUAGUUGACCAUAGGUGUCUGGGUUUAUUUCUGGGUUCUCUAUUUUGGGUUCCACUGGUCUGUCUGUCUGUUUUGGUACCAGAAGCACACUGUGUUGAUGACUGUGGCUUUGUAACAUUGCCUGAAGUCUGGGAGAGUUAUGCGUCCUGCUUGGUUUUUGUUGCUCAGAAUUGCUUUGGCAAUCCUGGGACUUUUGCGGUUCCAUAUAAACUUUUGGAUUGUUUGUUCUAGCUCUGGGAAAAAUGUCAUGGGUAAUUUGAUAGGGAUUGCAUUGAAUCUGUAGAUUGUUUUGAGUGGUGUGGCCAUUUUUACAAUACUAAUUUUUGCAACCCAGGAGCAUGGAGUAGCUUUCCAUUUCUUUACGUCUUCUUUAAUUUCCUUGAUUAAUGUUUUAUCAUUCUUGGCAUAUAAGUCCUAUACCUCCUUGACUCCAGCUAUUUGUAUUCCCAGCUAUUUGAUUUUUUGGGGUGCAAUUUUAAAAGGUAUUGUAUAUUUGUAUUCCUCUUCUAAUAUUUCAUUGUCAGUAUACAGAAAUGCGACUGAUUUUUGAAUGUUAAUCUUAUAGACUGCUACUUUGCUGAAUUUGUUAAUCAGUUCAAGUAGUUUAGGAUCCCAUAGGUCUCUUAUAUUGCUUUCAUAUUUUUUCAUUUGGUUUUCUGUCUGCUGUCCUGAUUGGGUGAUUAUGUUAUUCUGUCUUCCAUGUCACUAAUUCGUUCCUCUGCAUUAUUCAUUCUGGUCUUUAUUGCCUUUAUCGCAGUUUGUAUCUCUGUAAAUGAAUUUUCUAGUUUUUCUGGGCCCCUCCUCCUAUUUUCUAGUUCCUUUCUGAAGGAAUCUGCAUUACUGUGCAUAUCCUCUCUUGAUUCCGUCAGUAUUUUCACUAUCACCCUUUUUGACUGAAGGUCCGUCAGACUGCAGAGGUCUGUUUCAUUGUUGACUGCUUUAGGUGAAGUCUCCUGUUGCUUUAACUGGGAAUGGUUUCUGAGCUUCUUCAUCUUGCUUGUGUUUUUCUUUUUAUGUGAGCUUUGAGAAGCCAAACUGUGGUCUUGUAAGGCUACUUCUAUACAAGAAUACCCCUUUGUAUUUUUUUUGGGGGGGUUACUAUUUAUUUUUGGUGUGGGAGUGUGAACAUUUGCUGUCUCUUUGUUUGGUGUGAGCAGGCUGUUAUCCCCAGGAUGUUCAGUGUGUUUUCAGCGAGAAGGAGGCAGUGGGUAGGGCCAGCAGUUAGUGCCUGGUUGCUGGGCUCUCACCAGCAGCAAGGACCUGCAGGAAGGUGGCACAGGCCACUCCUACUUGCAGGGCCCUGGGAAGUGGUGAUGAGCUCUAGGCAAAUCUACAAGGUGACCAGAGCAUUUGGCAGUAGCAAGAGUAUUUUAUUUUGCGUGAGUUCCCAUGGGAGUGGGAGCAACAACAGCUUGUGUUUGAUUGCAGUGCCCUCCUCUGAAGUGAUUAGAACCGCAGGUGAUGCCUAUUCAACGACCCCUAGUGGGAGCGGGCCAGGACCGUCUCUGGAGUCAGUGAUAACUGUGGUGGUUCCCCCCCGCCCCCUGCACCUGUAGAUGGUGCAUGAAGCAACCGUCUCGCUUAGCCCACAUAGGAGGUGCUGUACAGGCUGCUCCUAGUUUCAGGAUCCUGGGAAGUGACAGAGAUCCGGCGUGUGGGUACUGCCUGGAGCAUUUGGCAGUGGCAGCAGCAGAGGGGGUGUGUUCCCAGGGAGUGAGAGCACCAGCAGGUGGUGCUCGGUCACAGUGCCCUCCUCUGUGGUGCCCUUGAGGUGAAUGGGGCUGCAAGUGGUGUCUGUUCUUGGACCCCAGUGGUGGCGAGCCACUCCCACCUCUGGAGCCACAUAACUUGUGGUUUGCCCCUGCCUCCUGUAGACCGUGCCAGAAGCACCUCGUCCUGCCUGGCCCCCACAGGAGGUGUUGCAGGAGCUGCUCCUAGUUGUAGGUUCCUGGGAAGGGACAGUGAUCAAGCAUCUGGGCACUGCCCAGAGUGUUUGGCAGUGGCAGCAGGAGGGAGGGUGUGUUCCCAGGGGAGCGAGCGCAAUAACAGGUGGUGUUCCGUCUCAAUGUCCUUCACUGUGGUGCCCUCUGAGGUGGUGGGACUGGAAGUAAUUUUUGCUCAGUGCCCUCUUCUUUUUUGCCAACCCCUGAGGUGACUGGGGUCACAGAUGGGGCCCCUCACAGGCCCCCAGUGGUGGCAAGCGAUGCCUCCCUCUGGCCUCUGAGAGGACCACUGCGGUCUGUCCCUGUCACCUGUGGAUUGUGCAAGAGGCACCAUGUGGCACUUAGCCCCCUGAUGGCCAUGACCCAGUCAAGAUGUGCCUGGCCACUGGUAGCCUGCACCAGAAGUGCCCAGUCUCCCUAUACAAGCAAGAGGCUUCUCACUGCCCAUAGCCUGUGCCAGAGAUGCCCUGCCCUCUGUGAGCCCAUAGUGCAGGGUGUUUCCUCUGGCUUCCCCAGUCCUCCUCUCCCCUCCCGAACAGUGCCGCCUUGCCUCUCCUGCGGGUCCGGACCUUCUCCUGGGUUCCCUCUGCUGUGGUGUUCCCCUCAUCCCGUGUCGUACAACUCCCCUGCCCAUGGCACCCUGCUCCUUAGCCCCUCAGGCUGUCCCUGCACAGUGGCCCCAGUCCUCUCCCCGGGACUAACCUCUGGAGCCUGAGUCUCUGUGCCCAGCCCCCGCCCGAGCAGCUCAGGCUGUGGUGUCCAGGCUGGUGGUUCAGAUGAUCUGUGCGGCUCUCGCUCUGCUUUGCUGGUCUCAGUCCUGCUGCUGUGCUUUUCUCAGUGACUUUGAGGUUCGUCCAGCUCGGCUGAUCUUUCCGUCAGUUGGGUGGUUUCCCAGGAGGUGGGUUCCUUUUCUCCUCCACAGCUGCCUCUCAGGAAUGCUAGUCCCGUCCUGAUUGCUUUUAUCUUUUUUUUCCUGUUGUUCUACCCAGUUGACAUAAGAGUUUCUUGCCCUUUUUGGAGGUCUGAGUUCUUCUGCCAGCUUUCAGUUGAUGUUCUAUGUGAGUCGUUUUACAUGUAGAUGUGUUUUUUGGAUGUGUUUGUGGGAGAAGGUGAGCGUGACCUCUUACUCCUCCACCAUCUUGCUUUGCCCCCUCCACAAAGUAAAAUUUUAAUAUAUUUUUCCCCUCAAGUUAGAAAUAAUUCAAAUUAUUACUGAGUAGAUUUCCCUGUGCUAUAUGGUAGGGCCCUGUUACUUAUCUAUUUCAUACAUAGUAGUGUGUAUAUGUGCAAUAACCUAUGGGGAAAAUAAUCUGAAAAGGAAUGCAUAUAUGUAUAUGUAUAAGUGAUUCGCUUUGCUACAUACCUGAAACUAACACAUUGUAAGUCAGCUAUACUCUAAUAAUAUUUUAAAAAAUAAUGUUUUGAUGGUAUGGUGAAAUGGAUAUGGGCCACUUCUAAAUGCAGACUAAGCCAUCUCCUUUCUGUUUGUAGAGAGUUUAACAAUAUGUAUUGAGUCUUAAAAUUUUCAUAACUCAAAAUAUCCACCUCAUAAUAGUAAAAAAAUGAAUCAUUUAUUUAGAAACAAACUUAAUCAAAACGUGGAAACAUUUUUAAAAAUCUUCAAAACACUUCUUUGGAAGUAACACUUGAAUAAAGAGAUAGACCAUACUUUUUCCCUUUCUGGAAAGAUCCAGUAUUAUGAAGCUUUCAGUUAUCCUCAAAUUGUCUAUGAAUUCAACACAUUCUAAUUCCCAGUGGUAGUAAAUUCCAGUAAGAAAUAUGAUAAACUGGAAGAGAGAACAUGUGAAACUAAUCAGCUACGUUUAAGAGGAAGGAGAGUGGCGAGAAUGUGGUGUGAAUAUGAGAUUUCCAGAAUGAGUUGUGGCUGUGUUCUAAAGCUACCAUGGUUGAAACACUGUGGCUCAGGCAUAGAAUGGUGUGACAGAAUAUAAAGUUCAGAAGCAGAUAAGUGUACAAAAACAUUUAAUAUUUGACAAAAGCAUUCUUCAAGUUUAUGGGAACAGUCUUGGGAGAAAAGGCUAUAGAGGUAAAAAAUAGUGUUGUGUCCUGACAUCAAAUCAUGUACUAAAAUUUUGAAUGUAAAAAUGUAAAACAUAAAAAAGUAAAAAAAUAAAAUUAUAAGUAGAAAAUAUAGAUGAGUAUUUACAUAAACCUGAGAUGGGGAAAAUAAUUUCAAGUGUGGCAGCAAAGAGAGAAGUCAUAAAGCAUAAUAUUUAUAUACUUAACAACAGAAAAUCAAAGUCAGUAUGUAAAAACACAGUUAGGAUUAAUGGGAGACAAAUAUAAAUAGGAAAAGUAUUUGCGGCAAAGAGUUACUAUUUUCACUACAAUAAGAAAAGAAAACUUCACAAAGAAAUGCAAACUAAAACAGUAAUGGGCAAUAGAGAUGAUUGCAUUGGGAAGAUUUGUUUAAAUGGUAACACUGAGUUGGUUAGGGUUAGGGGAGGGGUCCUCUCGCAUGAAGUUGGCAGAAAAGCCAAAUGGUACAAUCCCUCUAGUCGAUAAUUUGUCAAUAUUCAUGAAAGUGUUGAAAAUACAUGCAUGCAUAUGGUCCAGUCAAGGAAAUGACUGUGCAAAGACAUAGAAAAACUUCACAUUUAAUAGUGGAAACCUGGAACCAAUAUAAAGGGUCAAGAUACAGUUGUUUAAAGAAAUCCUAAUGCAGUUAUAAAAUGAUAUUGCCAUUGCAUACAGUGGAGCAGGUACAUUUAUUUAAUAUGUGAUUGAUAAAAAGGAGGCUGUGAUGGGAAGAAGAGUGAGAUCAGGAGAAUUUUGGGGUGUGAAGGGUGGAAGAACAGAAUGCCAAAAGUCAGACAAAAAGUGAAGAAACAGGAGUUCCCGUCGUGGCGCAGUGGUUAACGAAUCCGAUUAGGAACCAUGAGGUUGCAGGUUCGGUCCCUGCCCUUGCUCAGUGGGUUAACGAUCCGGCGUUGCCGUGAGCUGUGGUGUAGGUCGCAGACGCGGCUCGGAUCCUGCGUUGCUGUAGCUCUGGUGUAGGCUGGCAGCUCCAGCUCCACUUAGACUCCCAGCCUGGGAACCUUGAUAUGCCUCGGGAGUGGCCCAAGAA